rnacentral:tRNA from 1 species
GCGAAUGUGGUGUAAGGGCAAACAUUAGAGUAUGCCAAUCUCUAAGAUGCGAGUUCGAGUCUCGCCAUUCGCU